AACGAACGCUGGCGGCAUGCCUAACACAUGCAAGUCGAACGAGACCUUCGGGUCUAGUGGCGCACGGGUGCGUAACGCGUGGGAACCUGCCCUUAGGUUCGGAAUAACUCCCCGAAAGGGGUGCUAAUACCGGAUAAUGUCUUCGGACCAAAGAUUUAUCGCCUUUGGAUGGGCCCGCGUUGGAUUAGCUAGUUGGUAGGGUAAAAGCCUACCAAGGCGACGAUCCAUAGCUGGUCUGAGAGGAUGAUCAGCCACACUGGGACUGAGACACGGCCCAGAAUCCUACGGGAGGCAGCAGUGGGGAAUAUUGGAAAACGGGCGAAAGCCUGAUCCAGCAAUGCCGCGUGAGUGAUGAAGGCCUUAGGGUUGUAAAGCUCUUUUACCCGGGAUGAUAAUGACAGUACCGGGAGAAUAAGCUCCGGCUAACUCCGUG
rnacentral:rRNA from 1 species